GACGAACGCUGGCGGCGUGCUUAACACAUGCAAGUCGAACGCUGAAGCUCAGCUUUUGUUGGGUGGAUGAGUGGCGAACGGGUGAGUAACACGUGAGUAACCUGCCCCCUUCUUUGGGAUAACGCCCGGAAACGGGUGCCAAUACUGGAUAUUCACUGGUCUUCGCAUGGGGGUUGGUGGAAAGGGUUUUUCUGGUGGGGGAUGGGCUCGCGGCCUAUCAGCUUGUUGGUGGGGUGAUGGCCUACCAAGGCUUUGACGGGUAGCCGGCCUGAGAGGGUGACCGGUCACAUUGGGACUGAGGUACGGCCCAGACUCCUACGGGAGGCAGCAGUGGGGAAUAUUGCACAAUGGGCGCAAGCCUGAUGCAGCGACGCCGCGUGAGGGAUGGAGGCCUUCGGGUUGUGAACCUCUUUCGCUCAUGGUCAAGCCGCAACAAUGGUUGUGGUGAGGGUAGUGGGUAAAGAAGCGCCGGCUAACUACGUG
rnacentral:rRNA from 1 species